AGGUUGGAUUUAACCAUCCGGCCAAUGUCCACUCCGGCAGAACGCUGUUGUCUCUCCUCGCCAAAUGAUGAAUAAGGAGGACGAGCAGCGAGCUUUGACAGAGGGGAGUGUCCCGACGAUCAUGACCGCUCUCAUCUGUGGCUGCCAAUCAAAAAGCAAAGGAAUAUGAUGCAGGGUGUGCAUGACACUCUCUGUAAGCGCAUAGAGACGAAAUCACCAUCAACACAGCAGGACUAAACCUCAGUUUUACAGAGAAACACCAUUGUAAAAGUCCAAUCAGAUAAAAAUGUGCCUAAAUCUCAUCCUGUAGGACAAUGAAUAAGAGCUGGAAUAAAAUCGUCUGAAAGUGUCACAAUGUCUUACGAACGGAUUCUAUCCAUCCAAAGUUUGAGUGAGGUGCCAAACCCAUGGAAGGGAUUCACAAUGAAUCGCUGCCUAGUACUGGCACUAAUUGUUGUAGUUGUGAGCUCUGGUGUGAAUAACAUACAUGAUGCGUUGGAUUCCUUCCUUGAUGAAACAGACCUGGGAAUCAUGUCUUAUGUUGGGAGUCUACAAGAUGGUUCUACAGCACAGGGCUCUCUGUGGGACAGUCUGCUGUGGUGGAGUUGGGGAUCUGAGGAAGUUGGAGUGAUACGAAGAAGAAAAAAGCCAAUCACCGCAAAAGGAAUUUUGAAACCCAAAAAAUAAGGAAAUCAAAACGUGACCGGCUGCGAAAAGAAAAGUGAAAACAUCAUUCAAUGGGAUGGGGAGUCAAAGAGGCCAUCUAUGUGAAGAGGGAACGAUCAUCCCUGAACCUGAGUGGGAAGGGGGGGGGGCUAAGAGUACAACUGUCGCCAUCUUAUACUGCUGUGAUUGCAACCAUUCCCCAAUCCUCUGUGAAAAGUACACAUUGCCAUUGUACUAGUUAAUGGUCAUGGCAAUUUGCAUAUGAAACUGAUGGUUGGUUUGGGUCGUCAUGCCACUGUAUUGUUUAUAAGGGUGGGGAUACCUGCAGUCGGCUGACACUGAAGAGGUCACUUAGAUGAGUGACGACACGUUUCUCUCUCAAUAAAUGUUGUGUCCAGACGAACUGAU